CGCGCCUACAACUCCCAUCAUGCUACGCCGGGAACUGCACGGCUCCUCGCAGGAAAUAGGCAGCUCACCCUGCCACCUGUGCACACAUUUUUCUUCAAUGUAUAGUUCCUCGGCGCGCCUCUGGCUGUUUCCCGGAGCUCUUCAAUCCCAGAAGCUACAGCACAACGGCCGAAUCGCCAAGACCCCCGGGGAGGCGUGGCUUCAGCCGGAAGAAGCUCCUGUUGCCAAGGGAACGGUGCCUGCCAAGGCGCCUGCUCAGCUACUGAUGCACAGGCUGCUGCAGAGGCUACCGGUUUUCCCAACUUGUAGAGACGGCUUUGCUCAUUACCAGGCAUCCUUCCCAUGUAGGCGUAGAGAAGAAGGCUGAGGGACCCUCGCACCAGAUUUCCAUCCCAGAGACCGAUACGAGUGGGUCCAUUCCUGUUACCAGCUCCUACGCCUUCCGGACUAACCUCAAAAACCAGAAAAACUGCCUCCUCUUCUAAAUUGUGUGCCCCAAAAUAUUUCAGUAACAAGUAUCAAGUGAUAAUCCAUGGAAAAGUGAUGGAAAGUCACAAUACAAGGUGGUUUGUAAAUAUUUGAAUUACGUUAUGGGAUUGCUAGACAGACUUUCAGUCUUGCUUGGCCUGAAGAAGAAAGAGGUUCACGUUUUGUGCCUUGGGCUAGACAAUAGUGGCAAAACAACUAUCAUUAACAAACUGAAACCUUCAAAUGCUCAAUCUCAAAAUAUCCUUCCAACAAUAGGAUUCAGCAUAGAGAAAUUCAAAUCAUCCAGUUUAUCAUUUACAGUGUUUGACAUGUCAGGUCAAGGAAGAUACAGAAAUCUCUGGGAACACUAUUAUAAAGAAGGUCAAGCUAUUAUUUUUGUCGUUGAUAGUAGUGAUAGAUUAAGAAUGGUUGUGGCCAAAGAAGAACUCGAUACUCUUCUGAAUCAUCCAGAUAUCAAACACCGUCGAAUUCCAAUCUUAUUCUUUGCAAAUAAAAUGGAUCUUAGAGAUGCAGUGACAUCUGUAAAAGUGUCUCAGUUGCUGUGUUUAGAGAACAUCAAAGAUAAACCCUGGCAUAUUUGUGCUAGUGAUGCCAUAAAAGGAGAAGGAUUGCAAGAAGGUGUAGACUGGCUUCAAGAUCAGAUCCAGACUGUGAAGACAUGAAAAGAUAAUAGUUGGAAACCUCUGCAAUUUUCAAUUCAAGGAAUCUAUCUAAGGCAAACAGAAUACUUUACAUUUUGUAAAAGAUGUUUAUGCAUCAAAAAAUAUAAUUUUCUGCUUGCAUUUAUGGACUCUGAAUGACCUUUUUAAGAACAUAGGACUUCAGGUUGCUAUAACAAAGUACCAUAGACUGGGUGGCUUAUAAACAACAGAAAUUUAUUUCUUACAGCUCUGGAGCUGGAAGUCUGAGAUCAGAUUGCCAGCAUGGUUGGGUUCUGGUGAGAGCCGUCUUGGUUGCAGACUGCCAUCUUCUUGUAUCCUCACAUGGCAAAAGGAGGGCAAGAGAACUCUCUGGAGUCUGUUUGAUAAGAGCAUGAAUCCCAUUACAUCUUCACAUGGCUCCUCCCAAAGACCCCACCUCCUAAUAUCAUCACAUAUCAUCACAUAGGGGUUAGAAUUUCAACACAGAAAUUUUGGGAGAACACAGACAUUCGGUCAGUUGCAAUACUUAAGGCAAAUUCAUCUUGCUUAUAACUCUGGUGCAUUAAAAUACUAUUGCAUCUUAACCGAGUUUGUACUUAUUUUCUGCUUUCUGAUUAUUCCCUUUGUUCAUAAAAAUAAAUGACUGGUAUUACAUGGUCACCUAAAUAAAUAGGUUUGUGUAUGUCUGUGACUAGAAAGAAAUACUAUAGUGAUUAA